GCCUGUUUAUCAAAAACAUGGUUUCUUGGGAUAAUUUGAGAUCUGGCCUGCCCAAUGAUUAAUUUAAUGGCCGCGGUAAUUUGACCGUGCAAAGGUAGCAUAAUCAUUAGUUUUUUAAUUGAAAGCUGGAAUGAAAGGUUUGACAAGAAAAUUACUGUCUCUACUUUAAUAUUAGAAAUUUAUUUUUAAGUGAGAAAGCUUAAAUGGUAUUGAGGGACGAGAAGACCCUUUAGAAUUUUAUAUUAGAUUAAUCUAGGAUUUUGGGAAUAAUUAGUUUUGGAUUGAUUAAGAUAUUUUGUUGGGGUGAUGGAAAAAUUUGUUAAACUUUUUUUUUUAUUGUUCAUAGAUUAAUGAUUGUUUGAUCCAUAUUUUGUGAUUAUAAGAUUAAAUUACCUAAGGGAUAACAGCGUUAUUAAUUCGGAGAGUUCAAAUCGAUGAAUUAGAUUGCGACCUCGAUGUUGGAUUAAAAUGAACAAUUGGUGUAGGGGCUAAUAUGUUAAGUCUGUUCGACUUUUAAAAUUUUACAUGAUCUGAGUUCAGACCGG
rnacentral:rRNA from 1 species